rnacentral:lncRNA from 10 species
CUCAGGAGGCUGAAGCAGGAGAAUCACUUGAACCCAGGAGGCAGAGGUUGGAGUGAGCUGAGAUCGUAUCACUGCACUCCAGCCUGGUGACAGAGUGAGACUCCGCUUUAAAAAACAACCCCCAAAAAACUAGCUCUCAAGACUUUUAUGAUAGCUCUCUUCUCUUACAGCUGUUUUUGGGUUACGACCCCCAUAUUUUCCAACAAGCUACCAUUUUCUACCUUCCGCUUUUACAUUCACAGUCACUGGACACUUAGCAGAUGACGGCUCUGGUUGGGUUGUGCACUGGCAAGUGUAGGAUGUUUGUCCUCAGCUGGAGUCCCUAAACUCCGACACACACAGGUAAGUAAAAUGACUGUGCUCUACUUUUUUAAAUAUGUGCCAGGCACAGUGACUCAUGCCUGUAAUCUUAGCACUUUGGGACGCUCAGGUGGGCAGAUCACCUGACAUCAGGAGUUUGAGACCAGCCUGGCCAACAUAAUGAAACCCCGGCUCUCCUAAAAAUAUAAAAAUUAGCCAGGCGUGGUGGUGUGUGCCUGUAAUCCGAGCUGCUUGGGAGGCUGAGGCACGAGAAUCGCUUGAACCCAGGAGGUGGAGGUUGCAGUGAGCCAAGAUCUCAUCACUGCACUCCAGCUUGGGCAACAGAGUGAGACUCCGCCUCAAAAAAAAAAAAAUGUUCUACAGACCAAUAUCUAUAGCAAGGUUUAUAAGACAGACACCAAGCUUCUGGCUCUUUGGUUAUGUAGUGGUCAUAUAUCUCUGAUGAUGACUGAAUGAAGCAUAUGGGGAACUUCAUUAACGUUCCUUUGGUCAUUCAAGGCCUUCCAUUAAUCAAUCUCAGCAAGUGUACUUUCUGAGUGUCUUGUCUCUUGGAGGUGAAUUUACAGAUGAGAGAAGAUAUAAACAAGUUGCCUCCUUUCCCAGUGAAACACUGAUGUCUUCUCCCUCUUCUAACUCAUCUCAACUUGGUCUCUGAACUUAGCGCUGUGGACAUACCAUAUGUGUCCUUAGGCAAGAGGAUCUUCAAUUGGUUCCUGGGUUCAUUGGACCCCUGUGGCUUUCCAACACAGAUGACUCAGUCUCUUGCAUCUCAGUGUGAACACCUAGGAUGACCGUUUUUCUGCUCUGGAAAGGAAAAACACUGUGCACUUCUGCCUGAUGGCAGAAUCAGAACCCAGGAUGGAAUGCAGAGGCAGCAGCUGAGAGGGCAGCAGUGCAGCACACUCUCCUCCAUGCCACCUGGGUUUCCAGAGGAGACCAUGAUUUUUUUUAUUAUUUUUUGAGACAAAGUUUUGCUCUUGUUGUCCAGGCUGGAGUGCAACGGCACUAUCUCGGCUCAUUGUAACCUCCGCCUCCCGGGUUCAAGCGAUUCUCCUGCCUCAGCCUCCUGAGUAGCUGGGAUUACAGGUGCCCACCACCAUGCCCAGCUAAUUUUUGUAUUUUUAUUAGAGACAGGAUUUCACUAUGUCGGCCAGGCUAGUCUCGAACUCCUGACCUCAGGCGAUCCACCCACCUCAGCCUCCCAAAGUACUGGGAUUACAGGCAUGAGCCACCGCACCCGGCCAACCAUGAUUUUUUAAAAUGUGCAUUCAUAAGGGAGUGAGCUGACACAGAAACUCAUGGGAUUAGCAUAAAGAAACAUUACUUUCUAAGGGAAAUGUAUGAGUCAUUUUUUUUUUUUAAGACUGCUGUGAGUCAAGUUCUAUGGCCAAAUUCUGGAUGAAUACAGGAUUUAUAAACACUUGAUAUAUUGUACAAGCUGUAGAAAGACUUCCUAUUGGGCAAUGGUAUCUUUGCAGAAUUUGUUUUUUAUACUGGGAAGCAAAAGUUCCACAGGGAACAAGUUAACUCAUAAGGUUUAGUCACUGGAAACUGCAAAAGACGAAAGCCUACAAAGAUGAAAGAACAGACACUUUAGAGCUCCCUGAUGGACAGGAAUCCUCCUUAUCAGAGCCCUUCCUCUAGAGCAGCAUUUCUCAAAGUGGGGUUUCUGGACCAGAAGCAUCAGCACCACCUGGGAACUUGUUAGAAAUGCCAAUUCUUGAGCCUCUUUCCAGACCUACCGAAUUGGAAAGUCGAGGUUGAGGCCCAGCAGUGUGUUUUCACAAACCCUCCUGGGGAUUCCGAUGCACACCAAAGUUUGAGAGCUACACGUUUCUAAGAGACAAUCUAGGCAGACUGUACACAGGAAAUGGCUUUCCUUUCACAAAAAUAUGUAGUCCCUAGUGCCCUAAGGCAUCCACUGUAGAUAAUAGGUUACAUUCUCUCUCUGCAACUAGGAUGGUACUGGUAUGUACCAUCCCUGGGGAUUAUUAAGAAAAUAGUCAUCCAAAUAGUUGUCAUUGUUCUAUGAUUAAGUCCCCAGUGACAGUUUUGUUGCUGUCCGCCAAUCAACUAAGCCAUUUGGUUACACAGCAGCACUUCACUUCG